UCAGGAAUUUUGGGCAAUGGGCGAAAGCCUGACCCAGCAACGCCGCGUGAAGGAUGAAGUAUUUCGGUAUGUAAACUUCGUAAGAAUAGGAAGAAUAAAUGACGGUACUAUUUGUAAGGUCCGGCUAACUACGUGCCAGCAGCCGCGGUAAUACGUAGGGACCAAGCGUUGUUCGGAUUUACUGGGCGUAAAGGGCGCGUAGGCGGUGUGUCAAGUCAGUUGUGAAAUCUCCGAGCUUAACUCGGAACGGUCAACUGAUACUGUCACACUAGAGUACAGAAGGGGCAAUCGGAAUUCUUGGUGUAGCAGUGAAAUGCGUAGAGAUCAGGAGGAACACCGAUGGCGAAGGCAGGCUCCUGGGCCAGCACUGACACUCAUGCACGAAAGCGUGGGGAGCAAACAGGAUUAGAUACCCCAGUAGUCGCUGAGCGGGCUGGCAAGGCGCAU
rnacentral:rRNA from 1 species